UCCCUGCUUUUCCUCCCUGAGCAGGUGCCUUACCGUGAUGACAGCGAUAAGGCUUUCAAAGCCCUGACCCAACGGUCAGGGCUUUUCUUU
rnacentral:ncRNA from 1 species